CUGGAAAUGACAGCUUCUGAAAUACAGCCAGUCAUAUGAAAUAUAAAUCUUUCUUACGAAUCUUAGCAAAUGCCACUUCUCGCCUAGAUUUGUCUGCUACUUUUCAAAUUCAUGGUCUCUGUGGUUUGGCUGCUGCAUCUUUGAAACAGCAUGGGAUAAUCAAAGUUGUUCUCAUUGGAUUCCAUUAAAAUCUUUUUGAGAAACCUCGGAGGCCUUUAAAAGGCGAUAGAGUGCAUAUCCCCAGUGCUGUUGAAUUUCUCACAGUUCUGGCAUGGGUUUCAGAUAAAGGAUUAUGCAGUUCUCUCACUGGGGUACCAGUGUCAAUCCAGAGGAUGCUUGCUUAUCAAGUGACCGCUGAAUAAAGAAAACAUUGUGCAAGAAUUCAGGAUUGUGUGGGGUAGCUGAUGGGGGAUUCUGAGGCUCUGAAACAGGACAACCAACCAUGAAGGCAACUGACAUUCCUGCAACACUUAGGACUCACUUUAGAAUCACAGAAUCACCAAGGUUGGAAAAGCCCUCGAAGAUCAUCUGCUCCAGCAUUCCACCACUUUAGGAAGGAGCUGUUUUUUUUCUAAAGAUAAACUACUGUGUUUUUCAAAGACUUGAUGUCUCUCAAACACUGCAGAUUAACAGAACCAUAUUGCUUUAUUCGCGUCAAGGACAUCAUCAUCAGAGGUGGCAGAUAGCAGGAAUACGCAACUGGAGGGACAGGAAGAAGAACUUGGUGAGAGCAAGUGAACAGGAACAGAAGUGAACAGUAAAGCUUUGAAGGUAACAGAGCACUGGAACAGGAUGCCCAGAGAGGUUGUGGAGUCUUCUCCUCUGGAGAUAUUCAAAACCCACACAGAUGCUUUCCUGUGCAACCUACUGUAGGGAACCUGCUUCAGCAUGGGGGUUGAACUGACGAUCUCCAGAGUUCCCUUCCAACCCCUGUGAUUCUGUGACUGCAGGACUGUGUGAAGACUGUGUUAGAAAUGUGCUGGAGAUAGGUAGAGCG
ensembl:lncRNA